CCAAGAAGGAGGACCAUUAGCUAUUAAGUGACAUAGAUAUGUUCUCUUUUAUGUUUUGUAAUUACAUUUCCAAGUUUUCUAAAUUCAUGCUGUAAUAUUUGGCCAUCAUAGUGUACAGGUGUAUUCAGUGUCUCAGAAAGAUAAAUGGUAUUUCUUAGCAUGCUUUGCUGUGAUGUAAUAUUUUAUCACCCCCUAGUGGUAAUAAUUCAUAAGGCAGUUAGCUAUUAUUUGCCUUUUUAUCCAUGAUUCAGAAACCAGUAAUAUUAUUUUUAUCCUGUGAUAAAU